GAUGAAGAACGUAGCGAAAUGCGAUAAGUAAUGCGAAUUGCAGAAUUUCCGUGAGUCAUCGAAUCUUUGAACGCACAUUGCGCCCGCCAGUAUUCUGGUGGGCAUGCCUGUUCGAGCGUCAUUUCAACCAUCAAGCCCCAGGCUUGUGUUGGGGACCUGCGGCUGCCGCAGGCCCUGAAAACCAGUGGCGGGCUCGCUGUCACACCGGGCGUAGUAGAUUUUAUCUCGCUCAGGGCGUGCUGCGGGUUCCGGCCGUUAAAAAGCCUUUUUUACCCAAGGUUGACCUCGGAUCAGGUAGGAAGACCCGCUGAACUUAAGCAUAUCAAUAAGCGGAGGA
rnacentral:misc_RNA from 1 species